GAAAAGUAAGGCCUGGCCAGCAAAAGACAACUCUUCCUCCUUGUGUCCUGUAGCAUGGGCUGUAUUCACAGCUAACAAAUGAAGAGGAUAUGUCCACAAGGAUUUGAGAAGGAACAGAACAAUAGUCAUAGCAGACAUAAGGGAGGGCUGCAUUCCAGACCUCCACCACAGCAGG
rnacentral:lncRNA from 1 species